GAUUCGAACCUGCGGCAGGUUCGAGUCGAGCAAGGCGAGACAACGGAGCCGCUGGCGGCGACGGCCCGAAGGGCGAGCAAAGCGCGUUAUCCUGCACGACCCACCA
rnacentral:sRNA from 1 species